rnacentral:rRNA from 1 species
GUGAAAUUGUUGGAAAGGAAACGAUUAAAGUCAGUCGUACCAACGGGAAAUCAACCUUUUGAGUUCGGUCUUGUGGGUUUGAAGAGUUUCAAAGCCUUCUGAUUUGUGAGAUUGGGAUCUCUUGGUGCACUUUUUCGUACGGUUAGUCAACAUCGGUUUUAAUCAUUAUAAAAUGGUUGAAGGAAUGUAACUUUGAUUUCGAUCGAGGUAUUAUAUAUAGCCUUUGGUAGAUGUGAUGUUCGAGACCGAGGAUUGCAACGGAUACCCUUCUGGGCUAUUCAUCUGAUCUCUGAAACGUUGCCUUGAUGUCGAAAGCUUGCUUAUGAUGUUAGGGUAUUACGAUCAAAAGGUUAGAACGGAUUAAAUUCGUUAAGGAUGUUGACGUAAUGGCUUUAAACGAC